UCACUUUCUCUGUUUUUUUGAAGAAACCUAAAACUUUUCCCAUUUCUAUCUUUCUUGAAAACACAAAUAUAUUGUUUCCUCUACUCAACAAGUCUUUUCAUUUCACUACCUCUAAUCUCAAACAACUCUCUUUCCUAUCAAAAUCUGCCAUCUUUCUUAUUUCUCUAACCCAUUUUCAUCUUCCACCUUUCUCCGUCCUCAAUCUUUGCGGAAGACGUUUUGAACGGCCCUGUUCUACAUGGCUCAACCGAUGGAGAAAGUUAUGGACAUCAACGUCACCAAGGAUCUGUAGAAAGUGGCGGUCAGAGUUGUCCAUAAAUGGAAGGUAGUCUCCAACAACAAUGAGCACUUUGAGAUGGUCUUUCAAGACAAAGAGGUUUGGUGAUGUUGGCUUACGCGAAAGGGGGAAGAUUCGUCGGCGGUGCGGUUUUUGAUGGCUCCACGUGCGACACCUUUAUGACCUAAAAAGAAAGUCAGAAACGAAUUGUAACCUGUUGAUAAUACAACUUGAAACUCAGAAAACUGAACCGGGUAGAAAUUGCUUUGGUGAAAAAAACUACUAUGUAGUUAUGGUGAGACCGAAUCGAUACCGAGUGAGUAGAUCUUGAUUCUUCAUGUCAGUUCGGUUAUAUAUUGCCAUGAAAUAUAUAUAUAUAUAUAUAUAUAUAUAUAUAUAUAUAUAUAUAUAUAUAUAUAUAUAUCUGAAGUCAAUAUUUACACAAAUUGAACUGUAGUUAUGAUAUUCAAACAAAAUGUAUUAUUUAUCGCAAAAUAGAUGUCCAUGAAUGAGAGCUUCUAUGGUUUCAUUUUUGAAACUAAAUUCUACUAUUGACUAUGGAAGAACAUGGUGAUGCAUUGUUUAAGAGAGGUGAGUUCAAGAUCGCGACGACAGAACACGAAUGACCUAACCCGGUGCAUUCGGAUUUGAUUGAAUCAGUAUCAGUUGAGACACAGUCAAUGGCAGGAUACCUUGUGUCAAAGUUGCUGCUUGCAUACCCAAGUAAAGUAAAUAUACUGAAUCUUUAGAGGAUUCUGAACUUGCGAAUGCUUUAGUUGCUAUUCAUUUGGUUUUUUUAUCCCAUUUAUAUUCAUAAUCUACAUCAUUAUUGUUCUAAUUAGCAAUAUAUUAUUCUAGAAACAGUAUGUAAUAUAUAUAUGUUUGAUUAUGAUGAAACUGUUCUAUACUGGUAAAUGAUGUAUAUGUUCUAUACUGGUAAAUAAAAUGAUGUAUACUGAGUAGCCCACGAAAGAUAUAGU